CUGGAAGUUGAGGAACGCCAGGUCUCCCUUCACUUGGCGGACCACUUCCAUGGUCAGCACCUUCUCUUCAUGGAUGAUGGCCAAGUGCAGGAACCUGAGGGAAAGAGAGGGAAAACCCCGCAGGGCUGGCGAGAUGACUGCUGCGUAGCAGAUGGCAGGCUUUGCCUUCCAGAGAGUAACACCAGACCAUUUCAGGGGAAGCACUUAUUCUCAAAACCUGAUUGGUGACUACAGCUCCAGUUCCAGAGAUUGUAGACCGAGUCUACAAUCAAGACCAAGAAAAAAUUUUGAGAGGAAGAUAAUUUAAAAUGUUAAUUCAGUGGGAGAUACCAUAGCCAGUUACAUUUACAAAAGAUUAUUGAUUGAGAAAAGAAAAAAA